AAACCAUGAUGAGGACACAUUCUCAAAAGAUCCUUAAAUCUCUCUCAUGCAUCAUAUAAUGUCUCCAAAUCAAUUUGAGCAAAAGAAGAGAUGUCAUUCCUCAAUUU
rfam:Gossypium raimondii chromosome 7, whole genome shotgun sequence.